rnacentral:rRNA from 2 species
UUAAAUUGAAGAGUUUGAUCAUGGCUCAGAUUGAACGCUGGCGGCAGGCCUAACACAUGCAAGUCGAGCGGCAGCGGGAAAGUAGCUUGCUACUUU